CCUACGGGAGGCAGCAGUGGGGGAUAUUGCACAAUGGGGGAAACUCUGAUGCAGCGACGCCGCGUGAGUGAAGAAGUAUUUAGGUAUGUUAAGCUCUAUCAGCAGGGAAGAAAAUGACAGUACCUGACCUAGAAGCACAGGCUAACUACGUGCCAGCAGCCGCGGUAAUACGCAGGGGGCCAGCGUUAUCCGGAUUUACUGGGUGUAAAGGGAGCGUAGGCGGUUAUGUAAGUCAGGAGUGAAAGCUCGGGGCCUAACCCCGGGACUGCAUUGGAAACUGUGUAACUGGAGUACAGGAGAGGCAGGCGGAAUGCCUGGUGUAGCGGUGAAAUGCGUAGAUAUCAGGAGGAACACCGGCGGCGAAGGCGGCCUGCUGGACUGAAACUGACGUUGAGGCUCGAAAGCGUGGGGAGCAAACAGGAUUAGAUACCCGGGUAGUC
rnacentral:rRNA from 1 species